rnacentral:ncRNA from 1 species
GGUCGGCAGUGCGAAGAAUAAAACACCCGCAAGGGAAAUAAUUCCGCCUGAUUGAACACAGGUUUUGAGCUGCCGACCGCCCGAAU